UCAAUAAUGAGAUUAUUAGAAAGGUUGAA
rnacentral:piRNA from 1 species